rnacentral:misc_RNA from 1 species
AAGUCGUAACAAGGUUUCCGUAGGUGAACCUGCGGAAGGAUCAUUAGAAUGGGGGUAAAGGGUGCUUGGGGCGAGGAUAGAUGGGGCGGCUGGGUGCGCUGGGGCGGGCAAGGACACUGGCGAGCGCGAAAGCGGCGACACCACCAUCCACUAUACAGCUGCUGACAACGGAUCUCUAGGCUCCU